rnacentral:misc_RNA from 1 species
GAUGAAGAACGUAGCGAAACGCGAUAUGUAAUGUGAAUUGCAGAAUUCAGUGAAUCAUCGAAUCUUUGAACGCACAUGGCGCCUUCCAGUAUCCUGGGAGGCAUGCCUGUCCGAGCGUCGUUUCAACCCUCGAGCCCCCGUGGCCCGGCGUUGGGGAUCUGCCCAGGCAGUCCCCGAAAACCAGUGGCGGACCCGUUACAGGCCCUUCCCUUGCGUAGUAGCAUUCGCCUCGCAUCGGGAGCCGGCGGGCUUCCAGCCUCUAAACCCCCAUCAAGUCCGCCCCGGCGGCACCAAGGUUGACCUCGGAUCAGGUAGGAAUACCCGCUGAACUUAAGCAUAUCAAUCGGAGGA